rnacentral:rRNA from 1 species
AUGAUUUUUGCUACGACAUACUUUUUUUGCUGGAACCAAUGUUUUUGUUUGUCGAAACUAGCUUUUUUGCUUGCUACAAUCGAACCACUGGGAGUCUUAUUUACUAAAUUUAUUUGCUGGAACCACUAUUUAUAUUUGCUGGAACUAGCAAUUUUUUUGCUACCAUCUUUUCUGUUUUGCUACAAUCAAACCACUGGGCGUCUUCCUACAGAGUUAUUUUUUGCUGGAACGAGUGUUUAUUUUUGUUGGAAACAGCAAUCCUUUUUGCUACGAUCAUUUGUCCCUGCUGAUUUGUUUUUGCUGGAACCAUUUCUCCCUGCUGAGUAUUUUUGCUGGAACCGAUAUCUUUUUUUGCUGGAACCUGCUAAUGUUUUUGCUUCAACGGAUCACUGA